GUGUGUGGCUGCAUUUUACUGCACAAGUGAACCCUAAUUUUUGCUGACUCAAAAAAAAUACCAAACAUAUCCUAUUCUCCAUUGUUUGUCUCAUAGUCUUUUCUCCUUUUAUUCCUUGUUCUUUUCUUGCCUUGUGUAUAGUCUACCAUAUUUUUGUGGUCUGUGUUUCUUUUUUAGUGCUGCAUCAAUACAUUUUAGCCACC